rnacentral:lncRNA from 1 species
CAGUGAAUGAGACGAGUUUGAAAUUGGUCACAGGGGAUGGGCCAUCACCAUUAUGACGCCGGCGGCCAUGUCUGCCCCCACCUUUGGAAACGGUUUUAAAGGCCAUGACAUCAUCCCCCUCGAAUCUUAUUGGCUCUCUUGGUGUUAGAGUCCCUGAAGAUUUAUUUUAUACAACGUUUGACAUGUUUGAACGAACCUACAUGCGCGAGGAUUGCUUUCAUUAUGAACUUCAGAGCUGCGCUUGGAGAGAGCCAUAGGACGCGCUACCAACAUCAGGCUAAUGGAACGUGAAGUAUGGACUUUUUGACCGAAAAUACAUCUGUUGUGGACCUGGGAUGCUUUCUGAUGAAGACAACUAAAGGAAGCUAUGCUGGGGUUUGAUGAUGUCCUAUCUGACAGUAUGACUCUCUGAAGAGUUGCAGUUAUACACCUGUGGAGGUGAUCUAAUAGCUACUUCGUAAAGAUGGCUGCUUAAAUCGUCCCACCAUCAGGUUACCUGGAGCCACGAAAUAUUUCUAUCUGAGCGUUCCAGUCCCGUUGUGUCCUGAAGGAACGCGCCCCUGGAAGAUAAGCCAGAGAUAUUACAGAAAGGAGACGCCACUCCCUCAUUUCGGUCUGAUGAGGGGGCGGGGCCACUCUGGUCUGCUUAAUGAGGGAGUGGGUCUAUGAGGGGUGUCUCGCUUUCUCAACUCUCUCUGGAUAGGCUACCAAAGGUAGUGCCCACGCUGUUAUCCAGCGACACCCUAAGUGAGAGACUGAUCAACCACUACAGGAAGUGAGAGACUGAUCAACCACUACAGGAAGUGAGAGACUGAUCAACCACUACAGGAAGUGAGAGACUGAUCAACCACUACAGGAAGUGAGAGACUGAUCAACCACUAC